AUUGAACGCUGGCGGCAGGCUUAACACAUGCAAGUCGAGCGAGCGGCGGACGGGUGAGUAAUGUCUGGGAAACUGCCUGAUGGAGGGGGAUAACUACUGGAAACGGUAGCUAAUACCGCAUACCAUUGGAUCUGCCGAUAUGGGAUUAGAGAGUAGGUGGGGUAAUGGCUCACCUAGGCGACGAUCCCUAGCUGGUCUGAGAGGAUGACCAGCCACACUGGAACUGAGACACGGUCCAGACUCCUACGGGAGGCAGCAGUGGGGAAUAUUGCACAAUGGGCGAAAGCCUGAUGCAGCCAUGCCGCGGGUGUGAAGAAGGCCUUCGGGUUGUAAAGCACUUUCAGCAGGGAGGCGUUACUCGCAGAAGAAGCACCGGCUAACUCCGUGCCAGCAGCCGCGGUAAUAC
rnacentral:rRNA from 1 species